UCCCAACCAUAAACACGCUUUUAGAAAGGGAAACACUAUCAGAACAAGGCGGUCAACAAAAGCUAACACAAUGAUAAAGUCGAUCAGAAAAUCCCCUUAAGCUUUGGACGAGACGCGCUACCCCCCAGCCAGCCGCCCCUCCUGCUUGUGCUCCCCAUGUUGGUAGGACCAUGCUCCCGGGAGGUUUCAAGAAAGAUUCGCGCUCGUGGCUACACAAGAAUUCCAAGAAGACCAUCGGUGUGGGGGAGCAAGGGUUGUUGAGCGACGACCCGUACGAGCAGUUACAGGACGAUCCGUUCAUGGCUCCACACAACAUCAUCCGCGACACGAACGGGCGGACGUUCAAGAAGGACAGCCGGACAUGGUUACAUAAGUCGUCUUUGAAAAAAAGUGACGAAGCCAACG